AGAACAUCAAAGAGAUCGCUCAUGAGAGCACACAAAGUCCCAUUUGUUCAGCACUUGGACGGAGAUGCCAGCAGCUUCCAGGCAGAGGGAGAAUCGAAGCAUUAUUCACAAUAGCAAGAUGUGGGAACAACUCAAGUGUUAAUCAACAGAUGAGUGGAUAAAGAAAAUGUGCUAUACAUGUACAGUGUGAUAUUAUUCAGCUUUACAAAGGAAGGAAAUCCUGCCAUUUAUGGACAAUGUGGAUGAACCUGGAGGACAUUAUGCUAAGCAAAAUAAGCCAGUACCAAAGGCAAGUUCAAACUCAGAAGGCGAAAGUCCAGCGGAAAGUACCGGAACUGAGGGAAAACUAUUUGCCUAACCACCCACACCACUGAAUGCUUUCUUGGAAUCUGCUGUGUGUUUAAGAUGAUAUCCUACCCACACACAUGUAACCUUUACCUUUUUGCAAACCAAAUCUGAUUCUACAAGGAAAGCACAAAAAUAAAAAUAUUUUUCUCUCAAAUUA
ensembl:lncRNA novel transcript, sense intronic to AHR